UAGCAAACCAAUCCAAAGCUAAGGGGC
rnacentral:piRNA from 1 species